UAUGAUGCCUGAUAGCUUAGGGUUUUCCUUAUAUAAAAUUGGCAUCAUUACUGUAGUUCCUUAGUGUAUGCAUCGUAGUUGUACAUAAUUAAGAUCUUAUUUGGCCUUAUUUCCUAUUCUUUUUUGAUGAAGGGCUUAGGGUAGGAUCAAAUAUUCGAAUGUCUAUAGGGUCUAACGUUAUGUAUGACUAGCAUUCACGAGUGACAGAUAUUGUCCGAUGCUGGGCUGGGCUCGCUAUAUGUGAUUAUGGGUAUGGUAUGUGGUAUUUGGGGAACUCACUAAGCUUUGUGCUUACGGUUUUCGGUUCUUGUUUCAGGUACACUGGUUUUCAAAUGAAAGAGCUCGGGAUGAUCGCAGCGCAUACACACCCGUGUUUUCCGCAAUAUGUGAUCUUUGAGAUUAGACCCUGGUAUUUGUUUUAAUUGAAAUGUUUGUUCAAUAUCUUGAACAAAGUUACAAUAUUGUUUUGGUUAUAACAAAAAAUGAAAUUUUUACCUUGGAUUUUUAGAUCAUUACAAGUGAUGGGUUUUGAGCAUUACAACAUUCAUAUGUGCACAUACAACCCUAAUUGCUUCGAAUCUUUGUUUUUCUCAAGUUAUACAUGCAAAUUAAUUUUCCGAAUAAAGAACCCUAGAUCUACUAUAUAAAACCAAAAUCUAACCAUAUUAGGGUUUACAGGAAUACCUUUCUUGUUAGCUAGUUGUAAUAAGUAAUCCUCACUUCAAUUCCUUCACCUUUGAAAGCCUACUGCUCCAAGCGUUGCACCUCUAAUGAAGUCACAAACACCACACGCAAAGAAUGAGGGAGAGGGAGUAUGAAAUAGGCUAGGGUUUUUCUUAGAAGGUAGGCAGGCAGAUUUCUUGAGACUAGGGGUCUAUUUUAUAGUUAAGGCUGCUAGGGUUUUCAACUGGAACCCCUAAUUCCCUUGCUUAGGCCCUAAGCAAUCCAUGGACCCCAUAUUAUAGGCCUUGGACAAAAACUCUAUGGGCUUCCCAUAGAUUUCGUCCACUCCAUAUCAAUAGAGUAUAAUAGCCCAAAAUUACAACUAUUACUGAUUUACAUAAUCAGCCCCCGUUCUUUUAAUCAGUUCCUUUGAUCACUAAAUUAAUUCCAAAUUAAUUUAUGUUCAAUACUAAUUAAAUAAUAUGAUUUCUCAAUUAAUAUAUUACUCUUAUAAUAUAUCAAUAAACCAUUAAAUAACCUCUUACUCCAAAAUUGAUCCUGUCCAGUUGCUAUGGUGAAGGCAUCCCAAAAGGACCAUGCUACAAUCAAAUCAAGUACAUACCAAUUAUAGUUAUGGGCUUAGACACAUAAUCCAACAACAAGUUGGUAUCAGAGCCUUGGUUUGAGGGAUUCGGGCAUACUCUCAGGUGUGUCUGAACUAAAUUUGAAGGUUUUGUGAUUUUUUUAAUAAAACGAGCUAUUAAGUAAUAAGGAAUUUCUAAUCAAAGAAAGGGGUGUGAUGCGUGCUGUCGGUCGAGCUCAAGUAAGUGGUUCCCAAAAUACCAAUACAUGUUAUUUAUGAUAUAUGAUAUGAUUAUGAGAAUUACAUGCUAGAUUAGGGCUAAGGAUCUGCUCAAUAUUAUAUGAAAUGAGAGACGCCCACUACUAGAAAAACAGCCUUUUACGACGCGCAAAUUAUGACACUCAUUGAUCUAUGUUACGCAAAAGAGAGUGACAUUAAAAGAGAGUCAUAUCUUCAAAAAAUUUAAGGAUUUAGGUCACGCAUUACUGUGUGCCCUUAAAUUAAUGUCUCAUGUAAAAAAAUUAAAAACACGGAGGGCACUUUAUCUAAAACGAGCGUCCUCAAUGAAUGUCGCUUUAUAUAUUUUUUUUUAAGAAACGCGUGUCUCCUUCGUCUUAGAGGGAAAAUGAAAUCCCCAAAUUUUUUAAACCCCCGCCUUCUUCUCCCUUUCAUCCACUGCACUCAAUCCCCGAUGCCUCUUCUAGCCUCAGACUGUGCCGAUUAAAAACUACGAUUCAUCAACCGUCAAUCGAAACUACCAAUUAAACAAGCCCUAAUCGACACCUCCACCUUCUUGUCUCUCCUUUUCCACCAGGUUUUAUCGCAUCUCUAUCCUCCUCCUUCUCGUCUCGCCUUCUCCAUUGACAACACCAACACCGUUGUCACGAUCUAUUACAACACCCACCACAGUCAAAAUUGAUGAAACCAUACCUCCUCCUGCUUCCAACGCCUCAAAAUGGAUUGCAGAUGUCAACGCUUCUUGUUUUUAUUAUCCCAUUUCUUUCAAAAUCAAAUCGACCCAAAACCCUAGUUCUUGUUGUUCAAAUCAAUUUCAAUGGUGAACCUCCGACUUCAUUGGUUUGAAGAAAAAUAUAUUGGAAACAGUGUAUCAGAAUCCAGUAGCGGCAGUAAUUGGUGAGAACGGUUCAUGGAAAAGAACUCAACAAUCUUAGAUAUUACACAAAAAUGGCUACAUGAAGACCGGAACCAUCCCAGUCACCCAGACCCACCGUGUCUCCAUCGUCUAUGUUUCUAGGUAAUCAUAUUCUCACACCUUAAUUUUUACCUCUCAUGUAUCUGUGCGACUUUGAUUACUUCCUUGGAUCAUUUGAGGUUCCUUUUUUAUCCUUCUUUUCUCCCAAUUUUUCAAUACACAUGUGAUUAAACUACACACGGGAUCUCAUUGUUUAUUCAUUUAAUUGGAAGGUAUGAUAAGCGCUAGACUCUCUCAAGUAAAUUAUGCCCCUGUAAAGGUAUUGGUGUAAAAUUUCAUUGGUUUGGUUUCAGAUCCUUUAUAAUUACUUCUGAAAGCUACUCUACAGAAACUCAAAAUGCAGGGCCUUUGUCUAUAUUAACAAAGAAGUUAAGUAGUUGGAAUGAGUAUUAUGAAUGGUGAGGCAUCCCUUUAGAUUCUCAUGUUGCUCUACGUCUUCACUAGGUAAUGAUGUAGUUUCAUAUACUUCAUAGAAAGUAGUGCUUGUUUUUUUAAUGAAUUGAUUGAUGCAGUGGGUUCAUCAGAGGGCUUGGAGAGGACCCGAAGCCUCUAACAUUUUCAUUCCAUGACAAGUACAAACAGGGGCCCCUGUUAUCAGUUGUAAUUAUUGAUUUGAUUAUAUAUAUGAUGGGAUCCGAAACCAAUUUAAAAUACGUAUAUGCAUUAAGAGGUGGAAAUCAAAGAAGAAGAUUAUCAGAGGACAAAAAGGUCAAUUUCAAUUGCAUACCUGGAGCCUAUAGACAUGAGUGCGCAGCUGUUCGACUGCCCCUGAACGGAAAGUGUCACAUGCAGCCAUCAUUACAUUGAUGUCAUGCUGUUGAAGCCAGUAAGCCACCUAUGUACACAACGUUUCACAUAUUAUUAUUUUUUUUGUUUUUUUUAUGCCAAGAUUCAAUUUUUAAUAUUUUUUAUAUACCUUGGCAAGAUUGAUUGACUUUCCAACUCUGUUGACUCCAACAAACACCACAACAUAUGGUUUCCUUUUCUCCUUGGAAACAUGAACAUCCCUCAGAAUGUCAAUAGAACGCCUUUGAGUCAAGAUACGAACAAGAGCAUCUUUCAUAGCAGCCUGCACUCGAUAUCAAUUUCAUAUUUUUUAUAAAUCAACUAACCAUGAAAUACUCAAAAUUACAAAAAAGGACAGUUGUGUAUUCUUAGUUCCUGGAAUCUUACAAGAGUGUCACCAUUGAAGCCAUGGCAAAGGCGUUUAGUGUCACAAUUGAUUUCAUUUAUCUGGAGCUGUCACUAUUCAUUGCAGCAGGGAAGCUUCAUUGCAAGAUCGAAAAAGUAGCAUGUGUUUUGGAAACCAACCACCCGGAUGCAAAGAAUGCUCUUUAUCAUAUCUUAUGCUUUUAGUUCUUCUCUAGCAGUUCCAAGAACAGAGAAAAUAUUGGAAAUUCAGCUUACAAGUGAGCCACACACGUCUCAUGGAAUGUUCAGUUUUGACUAAAAGGUA